rnacentral:rRNA from 1 species
AACGAACGCUGGCGGCAUGCCUAACACAUGCAAGUCGAACGAGAUCUUCGGGUCUAGUGGCGCACGGGUGCGUAACGCGUGGGAAUCUGCCCUUUGGUUCGGAAUAACAGUUGGAAACGACUGCUAAUACCGGAUGAUGACGAAAGUCCAAAGAUUUAUCGCCAGAGGAUGAGCCCGCGUAGGAUUAGCUAGUUGGUGUGGUAAAGGCGCACCAAGGCGACGAUCCUUAGCUGAUCUGAGAGGAUGAUCAGCCACACUGGGACUGGGACACGGCCCAGACUCCUACGUGAGGCAGCAGUGGGGAAUAUUGGACAAUGGGCGAAAGCCUGUUCCAGCAAUGCCGCGUGAGUGAUGAAGGCCUUAGGGUUGUAAAGCUCUUUUACCCGGGAUGAUAAUGACAGUACCGGGAGAAUAAGCUCCGGCUAACUCCGUGCCAGCCGCCGCCGUAA